UACGUAGGGUGCAAGCGUUAAUCGGAAUUACUGGGCGUAAAGCGUGCGCAGGCGGUGAUGUAAGACAGAUGUGAAAUCCCCGGGCUCAACCUGGGAACUGCAUUUGUGACUGCAUCGCUAGAGUACGGCAGAGGGGGAUGGAAUUCCGCGUGUAGCAGUGAAAUGCGUAGAUAUGCGGAGGAACACCGAUGGCGAAGGCAAUCCCCUGGGCCUGUACUGACGCUCAUGCACGAAAGCGUGGGGAGCAAACAGA
rnacentral:rRNA from 1 species